GAUGAACGCUGGCGGCGUGCCUAAUACAUGCAAGUCGAGCGAACGGACGAGAAGCUUGCUUCUCUGAUGUUAGCGGCGGACGGGUGAGUAACACGUGGAUAACCUACCUAUAAGACUGGGAUAACUUCGGGAAACCGGAGCUAAUACCGGAUGAUCUUUUGAACCGCAUGGUUCAAAAGUGAAAGACGGUCUUGCUGUCACUUCUAGAUGGAUCCGCGCUGCAUUAGCUAGUUGGUAAGGUAACGGCGUACCAAGGCAACGAUGCAUAGCCGACCUGAGAGGGGGAUCGGCCACACGGGAACGGAGACGCGGUCCAGGCUCCUACGGGAGGCAGCAGUAGGGAAUCGUCCGCAAUGGGCGAAAGCCUGACGGAGCAACGCCGCGUGAGUGAUGAAGGUCUUCGGAUCGUAAAACUCUGUUAUUAGGGAAGAACAUAUGUGUAAGUAACUGUGCACAUCGUGACGGUACCUAAUCAGAAGGCCACGGCUAACUACGUG
rnacentral:rRNA from 1 species